UUUCCAUAGGUGAACCUGCGGAAGGAUCAUUAUUGGAUUUUGGAACUUCAGGCUGCUGCUGGCUCUCCUCGGAGGGCAUGUGCACGCUUGUUGCCGAUUAUUUCUCCCACUGUGCACAAAUUGUAGACCUUUCAGUAGGCCUAUGUUGUUUUUCACAAUCUCUGAAUGUAAUAGAAUGGUUUUGAAUCUUGGGAAAUACAAUACAACUUUCAGCAACGGAUCUCUUGGCUCUC
rnacentral:misc_RNA from 1 species